AACGUAGGUUCCGAGCGUUAUCCGGAUUUACUGGGCGUAAAGCGCGUUCAGGCGGUUCGGCAAGUCGGGCAUGAAAUCUCUCGGCUCAACCGGGAGAGGUUGUCCGAUACUGUUGGACUUGAGGGCAGUAGAGGGUGGUGGAAUUCCGGGUGUAGUGGUGAAAUGCGUAGAUAUCAAGAGGAACACCUGCGGCGAAGGCGGGUUGCUGGGCCGACACUGACGCUGAGGCGCGAAAGCUAGGGGAGCGAACGGG
rnacentral:rRNA from 1 species